UUGUCCUGAUGGGAUCGUUGUACUGCUAACAGCCAUUAGGGGGUAUAUCAGUGGUGCGUUUGAGGAACUUUGAGUCCAUCGCAUCGUGUACUACUGUGUUUGCGUGUAUUUGAACAGCAUGAGAGGGUGUUCCUACCAUCGUAGUUUCCUUAGGUCAACCUCCACAGCACCCGUAGGCUCUGUGUGCUGUGUGCGGCAGUGAGAACCACCGAAGCCGGCCAACGCUCGAGCACCUUCCCGUGCAGCUCGGUCGUCGAAGCGGCGAGAACCUGCUAACCGACCCCGCGACGACAACACGCACCUGGUCGUCGCUUCUGUUGCACUGAAAUCCUACCUGAUGGCUCAGCAAGCUUCUACUCCUGGAGGGCAACAAGUCAACACCGUUUGUUCCGUUAGGCCCCGCGGUGUGCCUUGCCCUUCUCAUGUGUGCACGCAGUGAGACGGAAAACUGAAAGAAUGUGCUGCAACGGUGGACGAGUGGUGACCCACCGAGGAGACCCGGAUUCGAUUCCCCUCUCUGGCUUCUCUGUGUGGAGUUUGCAUGUUCCCCCCGUGCAUGGGUGGGAUACUCUGGUAUCCUCCCACAUUCCAAAAACAUGCUAGGUGAAUUGGUGACUCCAAAUUGUCCAUAGGUAUGAA